CGAGUUUGAUCAGUGUGUUCACAUUUGUGGCGUUUUUUAAGGCAGUGUCUAAAAAGGCAAUUAAGUGACAUAAUCUAAAAUGUCUGUGUCUAAUGUAGAAAAGUGUGUUGAGGGAUACGGGACACAGGGAAACACUGUGUAGUAUUUUGCCAAUAGUGUGAGUCUGAGAAUGUGCUUAUAGUUGUGCAGGUCUGGGCUUGUGUUUUGCUCCGGGGGAAUUCUUAGGACACACCGAGCUCCUCUCUAACGCUCUCUUUCUACCAUAAUUCAAGUUUUAUUAAUGCGCAUGACUAAUUCAGCUUCUUUCCGGGAGUUUUUUUUUUGUGCUUUCGCCCCUAUCAGGUCUCCGUAGAUCGUGGUUCCUUCGGGAUCCUGGUCCUGACACCUACCGUGGCCAUGCUGACGCCUGCUGCUGCCAUCAUCAUCAUCAUCAUCAUCAUCAUUAUUUUAGAUAUUAAUCAUAUUACUUUACUCAUAAACCGACAUUACCCUCUCCUAAAAUCUCUGUGCUCUCCCUCCCCACAGGAUUCUGUGGAUGGUGGUUCUAUCUGAUGGUGGUUGCCCCUGCAGUGGUCCUGCUGUGCGCCUGGCUUACUACUCACAAUUACUUGAAUCAUUUCUGUCAUAUAGUCUCAUGUAUUAUACAUUGUUCAUUCUGUACACAUGGCAUCCAUUGUAGUCUGUCCAUCCCGGGAGUGGGAUCCUCCUCUGACGUUCUCCCUGAGGUUUCUUCCCUUUUUUCCCUCUUGUAAGGGUUUUUUCAUUUUUUGGGGAGUUUUUCCUGUGCCGAUGGUGGGUUUCGGGGCAGAGGAUGUCGUAUGUGUACAGACUGUAAAGCCCUCUGAGGCAAAUUUGUAAUUUGCGAUUCUGGGCUAUACAAAAUAAAAUGACUUGACUUGACUUGACUCCUUAAGUGUCAGGUUUCACUAACUGUGUUAUUUGACAUUUUUGUGUCAAAGCAGUCGUUAGAAAACAGGGGUGGACAUUUUAGGACAAAACCCCUUUUAGAUAUUUUUUUUCCCAAUUGAACUUCUGAGACUGAGACUGAAGUUUUUUAUAUUAUAUAUUAUUAUUACAUAUUAGCUGCUUGGACACUUUUGAUGUGUGGAAUCGGCCAUUUGUUGCACUAUUGGUCGUCUAAUUGUGUUCUAAAUAAACAUGUCGUGUUAAGCGUAAUUCGGGUGGACGUUUCUUGUCAGACGAUUGAACUAUUUACCAGUCUGAGUCUCCUCAUGGAAUAUUCCCCUUUAUUGUGUAUAUUCUGCACUGUCUCUAAGCGACAGCUGCAGGGGGGUUACACGGACUGCAGAACUGGACCAGUACUCGGGCUGCGACGGAUGACGUUUGCUUCCACACUAGAAGGUCUAUAGAGAAGGGCGAGUCCAGGGCGGAUGUGGCGGACGGACGCUGGAUCCGUCCUGAAGCCCACUGCUGUCUGGCUGCUAUGAGAGCUCUGUGACUCUGGGCCAGGAGAAGACGGGAAUGAAAUGAAAAUGAAUGUCCCCACAUCACUAGCAGGUCAACAUUAAGCACAAGGAUGAUGACUGUUGAUGGUCCACAAAUCCACACUGGGCGUCCCACCACCAGGGUUGCUUCACGUGGUGGAGCAGUGAGAAGUAAGGAUGAGCCCUGUACUAGUGCUG
ensembl:lncRNA